UAAACCAUUAGGAAGUUUCACAUCUUGUGGAUCGACAUUGUCACGACUUGCUAAGAUACCUAUCCAUGUCCUCUUAAGGCCCUCAAAUGUUCCCAAAUCUGUUGCACUGUAUGGAAACAUACCCAGUAUGCCCACGAGCACGCCUCUGUAAUAACCCCGUAUCCCAACGCUUUUAUAAAGUUCCUUUGCGUUGGACAAAAUAAUGCUUUUUCCAUGCUGACCACGAGAUAAAUCGCUGCACUGAAUGCGAAAUUUCAGAGUAUCUACCGGAUAUAUAAACAUUUGAGCAACUGAACCAGCCAUGCCACCGGCUAAGUAAGAAUAAAGAGGACUAUGAUUUUCAGAGCUUGAAGAUA